rnacentral:sRNA from 1 species
UUUUUGCACAAGGGAUAGUAGUGAAAAUCCUUUUUAUGCGGAGGUACGCAGCAUAAAAAGAUUGAAACGAAUAGCCCGACCACGU